UACGUAGGGUGCAAGCGUUAAUCGGAAUUACUGGGCGUAAAGCGUGCGCAGGCGGCUUUGCAAGACAGAUGUGAAAUCCCCGGGCUUAACCUGGGAACUGCAUUUGUGACUGCAUGGCUGGAGUGCGGCAGAGGGAUGGAAUUCCGCGUGUAGCAGUGAAAUGCGUAGAUAUGCGGAGGAACACCGAUGGCGAAGGCAAUCCCUGGCCGAUUACUGACGCUCGAGGGUGCGAAAGCGUGGGAGCAAACA
rnacentral:rRNA from 1 species